AACAUGAAGAGGAAGAAGCAGAUGAGCAGCAGAAUCUAAGAAGACAAAGAAGCAGUUGGAGGAGCCUCCAGACGAUUAGCAACAGAAGAAACGUGUCCCAGAACAGGAAGAAGAAGACCAACAUCAAAGAGAGAAGAAGAAGAAACAGACCCAAGAAGAAGAAAAAAGAAAGAAAAGCUCCAGAUUACUCCAAAGGUCCUCUCUGCAGGUGUUUCUGGAUCUGGAGCUACACGUUUAGAUCUGCUUUUACUGGCCUCACCAACCUGCAGAGUUCAUGUUCUCUCCCUCCUCUGUACCCUCAUCCCAAACGGAGGUUUUUUUUUCAACUUCCUGGCAACAGGAAGUUUUUUUUCCUCCACGCUGCUACCAAAUGAUUGAUCUGAUCAAAAUGCAAUCAGAGAGAGUCUUAAAUAAAAAGUCAAAACAAAAGAA